CUCUGAAGCAAGAUCAACAGUCUCCAAACUUGAGCAGAAACCCUGCAUUUCCCCUCAGAUGUUCAUUGCAACGAGACACAUCUAGUUCAAGAUCUCUGGCUUCUGUGACACCAUCGAUAUUGGAUCCUCAUUGGAACUCCUCCCGGUUAUCCUGUUGCUGCAUGUGUCGUGGAGGUCCUGCAGGACUGGCCCUUUCACCCAUGACAGCCAUCCACAGAUGAUACAGAUUUUGGUGUGGGCCAACUCAGAGCCCUGGAUCUGGGCCUGGGUGGAAGCUGAGCUCUUCCUUAUCUCCACCACCAGGGAUGAAGAUGAUGAUAGAGAACAUGUGGAAGAAGUGCUCGUCUCAUGGAGUUUGGGAAAGAAAGAGAGGGAGAGAGGAAGUGAGUAGUGCCAUUCUCCACACAGGUAUGCCAUCUAUAGCCUGCUUCUGUUGGUAGCCUCUACAUGCUAAGCUCUCUACCACCUCCUGUGGGAGCACCAGCAUCUGAGGACCAGGCCUUCAACACACAAGCCCUUGUGGGACCUUCCGUACCCACUCUAGCAUGGGAUCAACAGCACACAACAGUGUGGGGCCUUUCACACUCCCUCACCCCACAGAGUCAACCCAGAGCCCAUGCAGGACCUCACAGGUUCACGUUCACACCGAAUAAACACCUUGAGCCUGUGAGAACCUUGCACAGCCACUCCAGCACAGAAGACCUGGCUUAUGCGUUAUGUAAGGACAAGGAAAUGGGUGUCCUGACAGUGAAUGUGUUUCUUGGGGCCUUAGGGACAGGGAAACCCAGCAUGCAGAGGUUCAGCCUAGCUUGGGGCUUUCCCACAACAAACCGUGGUCUGUCACAUGGGAUGCUUUUGGUGUGCCCUGAGGUGGCUUUAAUGAGAAAUAAAGUACAGCUCGGGAGGCAGAGGUCCUUGCUUCAGGUCACCCGGAGCAUCCGAGACACCUACUUCCCAAGACUCUAGUCCUCUGAUGCCUCCGACAGGUUCUGUCCUCUGCAGGGUCUGGUUUGAUCAGUAUUCAU